rnacentral:lncRNA from 1 species
UGGGAGAGGAGGAAGACCAGGCUAGAGGAGGGAGACCAGGCUAGAGGAGGGAGACCAGGCUAGAGGAGGGAGACCAGGCUAGAGGAGGAAGGCCAGGCUAGAGGAGGAAGACCAGGCUAGAGGAGGAAGACCAGGCUAGAGGAGGAAGGCCAGGCUAGAGGAGGAAGACCAGGCUAGGGGAGGAAGACCAGGCUAGAGGAGGAAGGCCAGGCUAGAGGAGGAAGACCAGGCUAGAGGAGGGAGACCAGGCUAGAGGAGGGAGACCAGGCUAGAGGAGGAAGACCAGGCUAGAGGAGGAAGGCCAGGCUAGAGGAGGAAGGCCAGGCUAGAGGAGGAAGACCAGGCUAGAGGAGGAAGACCAGGCUAGGGGAGGGAGACCAGGCGAGAGGAGGGGGCACAUGAAGGAAAC